AGUGAACGCUGGCGGCGUGCUUAACACAUGCAAGUCGAACGAGAACGGGUUAUAGCUUGCUAUAAUUGUCAGCUAAGUGGCGCACGGGUGAGUAAUGUAUAGGUAAUAUGCCUCUUACUAAGGGAUAACAAUUGGAAACGAUUGCUAAUACCUUAUACUCCUUAUUAACUAAAGUUAGUAAGGGAAAGAUUUAUUGGUAAGAGAUUAGCCUGUAUUGUAUCAGUUAGUUGGUGGGGUAAUGGCCUACCAAGACUAUGACGCAUAACUGGUUUGAGAGGAUGAUCAGUCACACUGGAACUGAGACACGGUCCAGACUCCUACGGGAGGCAGCAGUGGGGAAUAUUGCACAAUGGACGAAAGUCUGAUGCAGCAACGCCGCGUGGAGGAUGACACAUUUCGGUGCGUAAACUCCUUUUAUAUAAGAAGAUAAUGACGGUAUUAUAUGAAUAAGCACCGGCUAACUCCGUGCCAGCAGCCGCGGU
rnacentral:rRNA from 1 species